rnacentral:rRNA from 1 species
GAUGAACGCUGGCGGCGUGCCUAAUACAUGCAAGUCGAGCGAACAGACGAGGAGCUUGCUCCUCUGACGUUAGCGGCGGACGGGUGAGUAACACGUGCAUAACCUACCUAUAAGACUGGGAUAACUUCGGGAAACCGGAGCUAAUACCGGAUAAUAUAUUGAACCGCAUGGUUCAAUAGUGAAAGACGGUUUUGCUGUCACUUAUAGAUGGAUCCGCGCCGCAUUAGCUAGUUGGUAAGGUAACGGCUUACCAAGGCAACGAUGCGUAGCCGACCUGAGAGGGUGAUCGGCCACACUGGAACUGAGACACGGUCCAGACUCCUACGGGAGGCAGCAGUAGGGAAUCUUCCGCAAUGGGCGAAAGCCUGACGGAGCAACGCCGCGUGAGUGAUGAAGGUCUUCGGAUCGUAAAACUCUGUUAUUAGGGAAGAACAAAUGUGUAAGUAACUAUGCACGUCUUGACGGUACCUAAUCAGAAAGCCACGGCUAACUACGUG